GGAAAUAAAGAGACUGAAACAACUUCAUCAAGCACCUGGAAUUGGUUAGUAAUAGUCUGUGUAAUUUUUUCCUGCAUAGCGCUGCCAGCACAGUCCAAACCUGCUUACUUGCAAUGUUCAUUUUCACUUAAGGGCAGUCCAGAGUGGCACACCAAAGUAUUUCUGAUGCCAGAACUUCACCAUCAGAGACAGCAGUCCUCUUCCCUGGCCUGGACAAGAUCCCCAAGGUACAUAUCAGAAAUGAAGGCUGUCCUCAAGCUGCCACAAAACUGGAAGUGGAGAAUGAUACAAGAGUAAGUCAAAUCACCACAAACCUCUCUUAUCAACAGUCAGCUAUUUUCCUUGAUUUAGAGUUUUUCUCAUUAUUGUAAGCUUUUGAU
rnacentral:lncRNA from 1 species